rnacentral:rRNA from 1 species
AUCAGGUAGGGAUACCCGCUGAACUUAAGCAUAUCAAUAAGCGGAGGAAAAGAAACCAACAGGGAUUGCCCUAGUAACGGCGAGUGAAGCGGCAACAGCUCAAAUUUGAAAGCUGGCCUUCGGGUCCGCAUUGUAAUUUGUAGAGGAUGCUUUGGGUAAAACGCCAGUCUAAGUUCCUUGGAACAGGACGUCAUAGAGGGUGAGAAUCCCGUAUGCGGUCGGAAAGGCGCUCUAUACGUAGCUCCUUCGACGAGUCGAGUUGUUUGGGAAUGCAGCUCUAAAUGGGAGGUAAAUUUCUUCUAAAGCUAAAUAUUGGCGAGAGACCGAUAGCGCACAAGUAGAGUGAUCGAAAGAUGAAAAGCACUUUGGAAAGAGAGUUAAAAAGUACGUGAAAUUGUUGAAAGGGAAGCUCAAGCUGCCAGACUUGGCCGCGCCUCUUCGGUGGCGCGGGCAGGCCAGCAUCAGUUCGGGCCGCCUGAUAAAGACCUUUGGAAUGUAGCUCCCUCGGGAGUGUUAUAGCCUUGGGUGUAAUGGGGUGAGCCUGGACUGAGGAUCGCGUUCGCUAGGAUGCUGGCGUAAUGGCAGUUUGCGACCCGUCUUGAAACACGGACCAAGGAGUCUAACAUGCUCGCGAGUAUUUGGGUGUCAAACCCGGAUGCGCAAUGAAAGUGAAUGUAGGUGGGAACCGCAAGGUGCACCAUCGACCGAUCUGGAUCUUUUGAGAUGGAUUUGAGUAAGAGCGCGUAUGUUGGGACCCGAAAGAUGGUGAACUAUGCCUGAAUAGGGUGAAGCCAGAGGAAACUCUGGUGGAGGCUCGCAGCGGUUCUGACGUGCAAAUCGAUCGUCAAAUUUGGGUAUAGGGGCGAAAGACUAAUCGAACCAUCUAGUAGCUGGUUCCAGCCGAAGUUUCCCUCAGGAUAGCAGUAACG